GACGAACGCUGGCGGCGUGCUUAACACAUGCAAGUCGAACGGAAAGGCCCUGCUUUUGUGGGGUGCUCGAGUGGCGAACGGGUGAGUAACACGUGAGUAACCUGCCCUUGACUUUGGGAUAACUUCAGGAAACUGGGGCUAAUACCGGAUAGGGGCUCCUGCUGCAUGGUGGGGGUUGGAAAGGUUCGGCGGUUGGGGAUGGACUCGCGGCUUAUCAGCUUGUUGGUGGGGUAGUGGCUUACCAAGGCUUUGACGGGUAGCCGGCCUGAGAGGGUGACCGGCGACAUUGGGACUGAGAGACGGACCAGACUCCUACGGGAGGCAGCAGUGGGGAAUAUUGCACAAUGGGCGGAAGCCUGAUGCAGCAACGCCGCGUGCGGGAUGCCGGCCUUCGGGUUGUAAACCGCUUUCGCCUGUGACGAAGCGUGAGUGACGGUAAUGGGUAAAGAAGCACCGGCUAACUACGUG
rnacentral:rRNA from 1 species